rnacentral:rRNA from 1 species
AUUGAACGCUGGCGGCAGGCCUAACACAUGCAAGUCGAGCGAGUGGCGGACGGGUGAGUAAUGUCUGGGAAACUGCCUGAUGGAGGGGGAUAACUACUGGAAACGGUAGCUAAUACCGCAUACCAUCAGAUGUGCCCAGAUGGGAUUAGCUUGUUGGUGGGGUAACGGCUCACCAAGGCGACGAUCCCUAGCUGGUCUGAGAGGAUGACCAGCCACACUGGAACUGAGACACGGGCCAGACUCCUACGGGAGGCAGCAGUGGGGAAUAUUGCACAAUGGGCGCAAGCCUGAUGCAGCCAGGCCGCGUGUAUGAAGAAGGCCUUCGGGUUGUAAAGUACUGUCAGCGGGGAGGCGUUACCCGCAGAAGAAGCACCGGCUAACUCCGUGCCAGCAGCCGCGGUAAUUC